rnacentral:rRNA from 1 species
AACGAACGCUGGCGGCAGGCCUAACACAUGCAAGUCGAACGCUCCAGCAAUGGAGAGUGGCAGACGGGUGAGUAACACGUGGGAACCUUCCCUUUGGUUCGGAAUAGCCCAGGGAAACUUGGGGUAAUACCGGAUAAGCCCUUACGGGGAAAGAUUUAUCGCCGAAGGAUGGGCCCGCGUCGGAUUAGCUAGUUGGUGGGGUAACGGCCUACCAAGGCGACGAUCCGUAGCUGGUCUGAGAGGAUGAUCAGCCACACUGGGACUGAGACACGGCCCAGACUCCUACGGGAGGCAGCAGUGGGGAAUAUUGGACAAUGGGCGCAAGCCUGAUCCAGCCAUGCCGCGUGAGUGACGAAGGUCUUCGGAUUGUAAAGCUCUUUUGGCGGGGACGAUAAUGACGGUACCCGCAGAAUAAGCCCCGGCUAACUUCGUGCCAGCCGCCGCCGUAAUAC